AUUGAACGCUGGCGGCACGCCUAACACAUGCAAGUCGAGCGGCAGCGCGAUAUGUAGCAAUACAUAUUGGCGGCGAGCGGCGGACGGGUGAGGAACACGUAGGAACCUACCCUCGAGUGGGGGAUAACCAAGGGAAACUUUGGCUAAUACCGCAUGAUUUCGAGAGAGCAAAGCUGCCGCAAGGUGGCGCUCGAGGAGGGGCCUGCGUCCGAUUAGCUAGUUGGUGAGGUAAGAGCUCACCAAGGCGAUGAUCGGUAACUGGUCUGAGAGGACGACCAGUCAAACGGGGACGAAGACACGGCCCAGACUCCUCAGGGAGGCAGCAGUGGGGAAUAGUGGACAAUGGGGGCAACCCUGAUCCAGCGAUGCCGCGUGAGUGAAGAAGGCCUUAGGGUCGUAAAGCUCUUUAGGUUGGGAAGAAGAGUGAUGGAGGAAAUGCUAUCACUUUGACGGUACCGACAGAAUGAGCACCGGCAAACUCUGUGCCAGCCGCCGCCGUAAGAC
rnacentral:rRNA from 1 species